AAAAGGACACACAAUUGAAUAAUAGAUUGAUAAAUCAGAUGUAGUAUUUAAUUCUUUAAUUGCACACCCUUUAAUAAAAAAUGCUUGGUGCAGAGUUUAUCUAAUUUUGUAGAAAACCCCAAACAGGUUCCAUUUUCCUCUAGCUGUUAUAUUUAUAAUUUUCAAAAUUUCAGAAGAAUUUUCAGUUUAUAUCCCAGAAAUACAGAUUCCUGAGCAGCUGCCAUUUUAGCUUUUUGUGCUUACUGUGGUUAAUCACAGGAACUACAACAGAUGAAGAGCUGUCACAGAAUUACAGUUGUUCCCACGUGUUCUAAUUUGGACAGUUGUCCCUGGAACUGCAGGUUUUGUUUUGAGAAAAGGUUAUGCUUGUGCAGUCUUUCAGUGUUGCUUUAGAACUUUCUAGCAUUCUUCUGCUGGAGACCUUGAAACUCUCCACUGAUAACAGUUAGGUUAGCCCUCGAAAUUCUCCUGAAAGUAAUGGAAAAGUAAGAUACAGGGUUUUCAAAGCUCAGUUUACAGAAACAUCCUUUUAUUUUGAAUAUCUCCAUUCAAAACCUCCGAUACCAAGACCCUGAGUGCUGACAACAAUAACUGAAGCUCUAGUAGACCUUGUAAAAAUCAGGUCUCCCAUGUAUCUAAACAAUAUCUACAUAGUAUCUAAACAAAGUAACAAGUAAACAUCUGCCCGACUUACAUUGAAAGAAAUCCCAUGGUCACCAUUGCACCACCUAUCAGUUUGAUCCAUUCCAGUUCUGAAAUCUCCAAAGGAAAUCCUGCAAACCUUCCAGUAUUUGGCCACCUGCACAGGGGAAACAUUUUUCAGUAUAUCUAAUAAGAAUUCUAAAUGAUCCAACUUGUGGCUGCUGCCUCUUGUCCUGUCACUGGGCUCCUCUGCAAAGAGCCUGGUUCUGUCUUCUCUGUGCUCCUCUCCCAUUAGGGGUUUGGAACCAGCAGCAGGACCUUCUCUUUGCCUUCAUUUCUCACAGCUGAACACACCCAGGUGUCUCAGUCUGCUCUCACAAGUACGCAAUGCAGCUCCAUAGCUGUCCUGGUGGCUCUCCACUGCACCUGGCCCAGUAUGUCACUGCCUUUCUUGUCCUGCAUGCCCCCAAAGAGACACCUCAGACACAGCCUCAGAAGUACUGAACCAAGGGCAAUAAAUGCUUUCCAGACAAACAGCUACAUUGUUGUUAUAGCAACCUAUUUAAUCUAUCCCAGAUGCAAGAUCCCAGACCUCAUUUGCCCUUGAACUUCAUGAGUUUCUGUCAGAUCAUUCUCCAGUCUGUCCAGAUUCUUUGAACCACAGCUACUCCCUCCAAUGUCAUAUUGCCUACAAACUUGCUGAGAGUGCACUCCAUCCCACUACCCAGGUCAUGAAUAAAGAUAUUGAACAGUGUUAUCCCCACUACGAAUCCCUGAGGGAGGCCACUUGUACAACCAGUCACCAGUUCUGCUUCAUAUUGUUGAUUGCAACUCUUCCAGCAUGGUGGUCCAGCUGAUUUUCUACCCCUGCUAUCAUCCACUUACAGAACCCAUACGCUACUAAUUUGGCUCUAAGGAGAUAAUGGGAAACCAUAUCAAAGGCUUUGCUAGAAUCAAAGUACACAACAUUCCCUGCUCCUCCCUUCACCCCAGAGCGAGUCAUCUCAUCACAGAAGGCAAUCAGGUUGUUCAGCUAUAAUUUACCCUUGAUAAUUCUGUGCUGGCUGUUCUCAAUCACCUUCUUAUCUUUCCUGUGCUUGGAAGUGCUUGUAGGAGACUCAGUAUGUAACAUUCCCAGGGAGUGCAGCUCAGCUGAGUGGCCUGUACAGCCCCAAAUUCUCCUUGUCCUUCUCGAAGAUGGAUAUGUGCUUGCCUUCUUUCUUUCUGACUUCCUUGUAAUAUAUUUUAGGCCAUUAAAAAAAACAUACAAUGGACCCAUAUAUGCUAUUAGAGGGUUAAAAUCGAUCAGGUCUCUCUUUUAUGGAAAUUUUUUAUUCUAAUGCAAGAAACUUGAAAUAUUUAGGUUCCAGGAAAUCGUGAUGUGGUUCUGCUAGAGAAACUUUUCCCCUAGAUAACAAUCUUGUCUCAAAUUCUUUUGAUUUACAUGAAAAAUACACAUUUUCCAAGAAGUAUUGUAUAAAAAAAAUGAAAACUACACAUAGUAAUCUCCUUAAAUCACUUUCCAUUAUUUAAAAAACUUCCCUGAUGCCAAAAGAUAUUUUAAAUAUUAUUUUUUAAUGAAAUAAAUGCAAACAAUCAGCUUUGUAAAUACCAGAAUACAAAAGGAAAAAAAACAAAUAUUGUACUUGUCCAUCUAACAACUUUGUAAUUACUAUAAAAAGCUCAAAGGAUUUCAGAGAAGAACAAACUGAUUUCUCAUGAGACCAGAAGGAAGAUCAGUGUAAGAGCUACUUAGGCACAAGACCAAAAGAGAUUCUAGUGACAUCUCCAAGGAACUGCACAAAAUGCUGUAGACCAGAAGAGAAAGGUGUUUGAGUGCAUGGUAAUGUGCGGCAAACCUGUGCUUGGACUCGUCUUUGAAAGGUCUAUGCAGCUGCAAGCCACAAGGCCUCCACUGCUCUACGUGAGGCCAUGGUCAUGGUUUUGUUCAGGUUACUAAAACUCUUUGCUCUUGUACAUGUUUGAAAGUACACAUGUAUGAAGCCUGGUCUACUCAUUUCUUCUUUGCUAAUGUUUUGUCAUUAGAUGAGUAGUGUAACGUUUAAUGUAAAUACUUAUCUAGGUGCAGAGGUAACUGCAACUGUUUACACUAAACAAUUUUACUAGCAAAGGUAGGUUAUUUCCUGUUCUUAGGAGAAUUUGCUACACUGUAAGAGCACCUUUUUACAUGUAUGACAUUUUCUACCCUUAGAUAUUGUAGUGCUUUGCCUCUUCUGGAAAAGUGUAUGCUGCAGAGAAUCAUUACAGCUAUCCUAGAGCUGAGGAGGUGCCUCUUUACCCAAGGUUUCUUCCUUGGUAAGCUUUAGCAGUGGAGGUGGCACUUCCUGGAGAUCAUGGGGAUGAUAAGACACUGCUCAGUCUGCAUGUGUAGCUUGGUGUCAGUAACCAGAGUCCUGGUGUGAGAUUAAUUAGCAGGGAUUAUCAGUUGUUCAAGCACUGUGACCUGUGUGCAGAAAAAGCUUUGAUCAUUAUACAUCAUAGAAAACUUCACAGCAGUCUUCAGCAGCACAUCUCCCAGGUUUGUUAUCAGAACUAACAAGUUUUAGGUUCUCUCAGUUCCACCAGGGAAGCAUGACAAUUUCCAGAAAUUCAGCUUUGGAGAAAGCCAGUGGUCCCAUAAGAAAAAAGAAAUCAUUGUAGAAUCCAAUUUGAAUUUAUUUUGCAUGAGAGCAAAAUCCAGCAGAGUGGGAUGACAAUUGACAUAACACAGAGGAAGUGAGAGUAUAGAAUUAUCUAUGUCUUGCUGGGAAAGAAAGGAGAAGAAAGAAAACCUGGGCCAGAUUGUGGAGUCUCUUCUAUUUCCAAAGCAGAGAAAACACCAGUAAAUACAACUAUGUAAGGAAAAUCACUCUGAUUGAGGAGAAUUUUACCAAAAGCAUGAGAUCCACUGGGGUUGCCUUGGGGUUUAUUUACCCUGGUUUUGACAAAACCAUUUUUGCCUUGAAAAUAAAAAUUUAUGGCUUAAGGGAAGGCCCUGUUCCAAAAGGAGAGAACGCUCACUUCAUUGCCGUCUGGGGAUGCCAACACUUACCCUCCUAUGAGGAGAGAUGUCAUGGUGCAAGCUCAGCCCCUCAGCCUUGAUUUCUGCCAAACCAGCAGCAGGUCUAAUUGUACCUAGUGGGACAAUUGCUGAUGUUAGAAAAGGACUUGAUUUCGGUGAUUUGGGGUUCCAAAGAAUCGUUGUCUGGAUUAAAAUCUAAAUCUCUGCGAACAGUUUUCCCAAGCUAAAACUGGACUACUCAAUUCUUAAAACAUUUCCAUGUCAGGAGAAGCCCAACUUCUGUGAGUCUCAAAUCUGAAAAUUUCUGCAGAUAUUCAAAGCAUUUCUGAUAAUACCACUUGGUCAUGUACUCUUUCCUUUCAGGGGAGCAAAAUACUAUCUAUCUGUCAGCUUCACAUGAAUUCAUUUUACUCCUAGAAAACUUAUUAUGAAAUAAACCCCAUUAUUAUUGGCAUAAUUGCAGAAGAACUUCCCUCUUGUAAAUAUUCAGAAACUUUCUGGAUAUGUUCCUGGGCUUUUCUGUUCCUGCUUGAGCAGAGGGUUUAGACCAGAUGACCUCCAGAGGUCCUUUCUAACUUUAACAAGUAUAAACAUGUCACUAACUAAUCUUUUGUCUUAACUUUCACUUAUGCUGCAGUUCCAUCACAACUUAGCAUCUCUUCACCCCUCACCCCUCCCACUUUGUUCUCUCUUCCCUCCCUUGUGCUACCACUGCUGCAUGGUUCAGCCUGGGGAGAUCCAGUUCAGAAAACCAGCAUUUUUUGUGCUUGAGUAAGUCCCUGAACUGGUACGCUGUGGAUCAGAUGAGUACCAACACCAGCACAAGAGAGAGGCGAGGAGAGGUUUGGAUGUAUCCUUUCCUUCCAAACAGCCAAAUUUGGCUGAAUGGACACCUCAUUCUCCAAAUAGUGGUAUUAAAAUCAAAGAAUGAAUGGCUAAAUAAGGUACAACUCAAUAU
ensembl:lncRNA